rnacentral:tRNA from 1 species
GGAUUGUGGCUCAGUGGUAAAGCGCUUGCCUAGCAUGCGUGAGGGACUGGGUUAGAUCCCCCGCACCA